rnacentral:lncRNA from 1 species
GUCAGUGACUAACGAUGUAGUAAAGCGAAAGGUAAGUAAAAUGUAACUUACUAUAACAUAAAGUCUCUACUUAGCAUGAUUUGCAUAAAUAAUAAAGCAACGAUAUCAUGAAUGUACAUGGAUGUGUAUGACAUGCAUAAGCAUAGAAAUGCAACCAAUCCGAUGUCCUCAAUGCAAAAAUAGUAAAGAUGCCAUUGUUUACUAUUCUAGUCCAAGUCCACUUUAAUAGUUUUAAAGUUCACAUAGCAUGUUCUGUCACUAAGUCCCAAUCAUAUAAGACCCACCCGAAGGCUGUCUGGCCUGCGCCGUGCCUAAUGGCCCCGUGGUAGUCAACAUCCCCACUCUAGGAAUGAGCCUCCCCCACGGCAAUCCACUUCGGCGCCCAAUCCCGCACGGGCGAGCAUAUGUCGCGAUGGCUAUCUCCGGAGUGCCGGCUUGUAGGGAGCGACCCUCACAAGCAUGUGCGAAUGAGCACAAUGGCAAGUAGUCAUAUGUCCAGUCACAAGUACCAAGUCCUCAUGUCUAAUAACAUGGAAUGUAUCGAAUGUCCCAAAGGCCUAUCUCUAUGUCAUCAUGUCUCUAACAUGGAAUAUUUAGCAGAUGUACAAUGGCCUAACAUUAUGGUUCUAUGUUGCAGUUUCAUAGUUUACUAGUUUCAAGUGCCUCUUGAUGACACUUUAUGCUACUAAGUCCAAACAUAGUAUAAUGUUUCCAAUACACGAAUAUGAGCUAAAUUAGCAUACUAGACGAGAAUCCCAUUCGUCCACAUGAACACUCCUCACAUGCAUGAAAAUAACCCUGAUUACUCUACUAUAUAAAGUGAAAUUUAACUUACACAUAAGGCAUGCAUUUUAGGUGUUCUAAAAUUCACAUAAAUUCCAAUUAGCAUAGAAAUGCAUUCAAAAAUACUUUACGAAGAGUUUAGAAAGCAUAGGGGCCAUUUCGCCCCGUUUUCAUGAAGUCAAACCCACCAACGGUAAACGAAGCCCUUCGUUUGCUCCGACGAAGGUGUCCUCUAGCCUCCUAGUACCCUAGAGGUAUGAAAACAAGUGUCACAAGAAUCAAACGAACGGCGCUAAGCUCAAUCAUUAAGCUAUUCAAGCUUAGGUGAGGAAAACUCACCUCAAAUGCAAAGAUCUCUUCCAAAGCUCCAAAAGGGAGCUAGAAUCCUUCCAAUCCAAGCCAAAGGAAGAUUCUAAUCCAAACAAUCUAGCUCCAAAAGCCCUAGAUUCAAAAUGCCCAAAACAAACCCUAAAACCUCAUUCUAGGGUUUCAUCUCAAAAUCUCUAAUAAAACUUGAAUCUAGAGGGAGAGAACGUGUUGCUUACCUCUUAGAAGCUUCAAUCCAAGCUCUAAACUAUCCAAGUCCCAAGAUCUUCCUUCUACCAAGCUCCAAAUCCAAACUCUAGGCUCCAACAAUGGUGAAAUUGCACCAAAAGGGAAAAAGAGAGGGAAAAAUCCAUUAAAAUCCAAGGAAUUGGAGAUCAAAUCCAAAGAGAGGGUGGAGAGGGUCCUCUUACCCUGUCUCCCUGAGUUCUCAGCUCAAGAGAAGCCCUAGGGGGCGUGGGUGCUGAUAUAAGAAGCCCACAAUCGCGAAAAACCCCCUGCAGUUCAAACUGCACGAAAUCAGCCCCCUUGUACCGGUACACGGGCCCUUGUACCGGUACACGGGCCCUUGUACCGGUACAAGCCCCGCGAAAAUCAUAACCCGAGGCUCGGGUCGCAGGGUAACCGGCCCUCUACCGGUACAAGCUAGUGGCUGUACCGGUACAACCAUCAACCCUGUACCGGUACAGCCAUCAAGCCUGUACUGGUACACAGCCCUCUGAGGGCUACCCGAGAACUAACCAAAAUCCAUUUUUUCGGGUUUUGGUGCAAGGCUUUAAACCACAAUUCUCGGGAUACGAACCAUGGGUCGGAACACUGUCAACGACCUCCCACAAAAUGUGGAAAAGCUCGGAACACAAACCAAACACUCGACCUCGCUAUUUGCAAAGGUCCAGUGUGUUACAUUCACCCCUCCUAAAAAGGAGUUUCGUCCGCGAAACUCGAAAGCAAACGACAAACCUCAAGACUCCAUCUGAAAAAGAUGGGGAUAGCGUUCCCGCAGCGCGCUCUCUAGCUCCCACGUGGCCUCCCGCUCCCCGUGGUUGCUCCAAAGGACCUUCACAUACGGAAUAUCCCGAUUCCGCAGCUUCUUCACCCCGUAAGCCAAAAUCUUCACUGGUUGCUCCUCGAAGCUCAAAUCCUCGUGUAGCUCCACUGGUAUAGCUCCCAAAACAUGAGCUUGAUCAUGAAUGUACCUCCGAAGGACCGAUACAUGAAAGACGUUGUGCACGCCCGAUUGGUUCGGUGGUAGAGCAAGUCGAUACGCUACCGGACCUACACGCUCCAAAACCUCAUACGGUCCAAUGAAACGGGGGCUCAACUUUCCCUGAAUCCCAAAUCUCUUGAUUCCUCUAGUCGGCGAGACCUUCAAGAAAACAUGGUCUCCCACUUGGAACUCCAAGUCUCGCCGUCGUCUGUCGGCGUAGCUCCUCUGUCUACUCUGCGCCGUCAAAAGUCGCUCCCGAGCAAUUCGAACCUUGUCCUCAGCUUCCUGNCCUGAAUCCCAAAUCUCUUGAUUCCUCUAGUCGGCGAGACCUUCAAGAAAACAUGGUCUCCCACUUGGAACUCCAAGUCUCGCCGUCGUCUGUCGGCGUAGCUCCUCUGUCUACUCUGCGCCGUCAAAAGUCGCUCCCGAGCAAUUCGAACCUUGUCCUCAGCUUCCUGAAGCACAUCAGGGCCUAAAGCCAGUCUCUCGCCAACCUCACUCCAAUGAAGCGGCGAUCUACACUUCCGUCCAUAGAGUGCUUCGAACGGUGCCAUCUUGAUGCUUGCUUGAUAACUAUUGUUAUAAGCAAACUCUGCCAUAGGUAGAUGCUGCGACCAUCCUCCCAGAAAGUCUAUCACACAUGCCCGGAGCAUAUCCUCUAAGGUCUGUAUAGUACGCUCCGACUGCCAGUCACUCUGGGGAUGGAAAGCAGUACUGAAAUCCAAGUGCGUACCCAAGCAUCCUGUAAACUCCUCCAAAAGUGAGAUACAAAACGGGGAUCUCGAUCUGAUACUAUAGAGGUAGGUACCCCGUGCAAUCGCACAAUCUCAUCCAAGUAAACCUGUGCGAGUCUCUCACCAGUCCAAGCAGUGUGGAUAGGUAUGAAAUGUGCCGAUUUCGUCAAUCUAUCCACGAUCACCCAAAUAGCGUCAUGCCCGGCCUGUGAGCGGGGCAAUCCCAUCACGAAGUCCAUGAUGAUCUUCUCCCAUAUCCACACUGGAAUUGGUAAGCUCUGCAGCUUUCCCGCAGGAACUCGGCGCUCAUCUUUCACCUGCUGGCAAGUUAAGCAUCUAGCAACAAACUCACCAACAUCCUUUUUCAUCCCGGGCCACCAAUAAAGCAACUUCAAGUCCUUGUACAACUUGGUGCCUCCCGGAUGGAUAGUAUAAGGUGCUCGAUGUGCAUCUUGAAGAAUGUCCUCUUUAAUGCCCAAAUCCGCCGGUACACACAGCCGUCCGCGGAAACACAUCAAUCUCAACUCACCACUCGGGAGUAUCCUCAAAUCCUUUGUGAUACAUAGUCCGGAACUAAGCUCAAAAGCUUCAUCAAUCCACUAAGGUCAUCAUCUUAGUCCCAACUCAAAUUCAAGUAAACUCUUGCAAGCCUAGGCCAGGGCCUAGCUUCGACAGAAGGUUCACAACACGAUCACUUAGAAAUUUUCGAUCUCAAUGCUUUCCCCAGCAUUGGAUGCUCCAGGUGUCUAUAGUCUCUGAACUCAAUUCACACGACAGUGAGAGAUCGAUCCACAGUUCAGUAAUAACUCUCUAUCGAAGUCAUCCCAAUACGACGGUCAAGCCAGUCAACUCCAUAAGUCCUCAUAUGUAGUUCUAUCCCGAAGAUCUCAAAUCCUUGUACAAGCUCAUGACUCGGGAAAAUCAGUAGCUUGGUACAUUCCCUCUCACGAGUUCUCCAUCCAUCAGUGGGAGUUUUACAACUCGAUCACUUACAACCUGCCUACGCAGUCUAACUCGCGCAUCGUAAAGAAAUACCCCGAGUCAUCCGAGACUGGUCCACAAAUCCACACAAGGGCUCGGAAUUAUCAUUCCGCAAAUCCCUUCCACUGGUGGAGUACUACAGGCUUGGCAGCAUCAUCCUCGUGAGGUCCCAACCUAGCAUCACAACCCGUUUGAGGUGCAACCUCAAACUCCAACAUCAAACGGCACUACUCCGAUUGCUUACAGUCUUAUCGAGCACACCAACAACUCAAGGCCAUUUGACAAAAUCAAUAAGCCUCAGCACGGUCCAAACACCCAGUCGCGGUUCAAUUUGAAUCACGAUAGUCGACAUACAGUCGAAACGGUCCAUCCGGUCCCACAACAAGUGAGAGUGCUUCUCCACGAAGCAAACGCUAGCUAUGAAGCCUCCUCGCCACUCGAGUUAACGAUUUGCGACUCGGUUGGGGGCACCAACACAGAUCAAAGACAUCCUUCAUUCUGAGGAUUCUUGAUCACCAGAAACUAAUGGCCAAAUUGUAAUACACUGAAUUUUUGCAAAUUGCGAAAUUCGAGUGUGAGCAAUGAAGUGUGGAAUUAUUCUACAUGUUCUAAAUGACUUGGAGAAGUUUGUGACCAAGUUAGAGAGUGAUUGGAGGGUUAAAAGUGAGAAAGUGCAUUGAACCGGCGAAAAUCAGCAUUUUCUGCUUGGUGUACCGGUACAGCCAUUAUGGUGUACCGGUACACAAUGCAGAAACGUGGCAGUUUGGGUAUUUUGGUAAUUUCACAUACUUAUCCUUAUCUACUUGACCCAGCANUCUCGACCACCCAAGCUAAUGGCCACUCAGGCCCCAAACCCUCUCCAACACUUACCCAAUUUAAGGUAAGGGAGACAAUCAACACAUCUAGCGGAAGUAAAUCCUCAAAUCGCACUAUUUCGUGCUCACAGUCCUCAAAGCGAGUCAAGUCAGCUCGCAAUUCAAGGGUACCAGGUACCCACAACAAUUCCACACCAAGGAAGGCCAAUCUAUUUGUUGGCACACAGAACCAUCUCACGGGGUAGGGCGUUCGAAACGACACACCCGAUCAACCGAUCAUCCACACGUGCCAAAAGGCUCAACGCUCAAAUCCUCGGGUUGGGUAACUACACACUCAGUGUGUCCUCGAUCUCACGAUCCAACACGUGGCUUCCCACGCUCCAGGGUCCAGGCUCGGACUACCAUCCUGACCAAAACUCUGCCCUACCAACAGGUACCGGGCCGCUGUCACACACAGCCGACUGCGCCUGCCCAACGGGCCUAGGCUCCACAGUCCCCAAAUGGUCUAGGCACGGUCGUCACUAAGCCCCAUCCGGCAAAUAGCCGAGCCAGGGAUACAACUAAUGCAAUCCUCGUGAAGUCUAUAAGCAUAGCGAAAUAUGCUACCCGCAACCUGCAAAUCAAUCGCCUAGCUCAAGGGGUUACUCAAAGUCGCAAACAGCGAACUAGCGAAAUGCCAUGCAAUUCGGACAAUAGCUGAUCAUAGAUGCAAUGCUCCAGUAACCAAUAAUGCACAACUCAAAUGCCACAAACGAAACUGAUACCUGUAGCCACAAACUCGGCCGUUGCCGCCUCCUCUGUCUGGGCCGCGUACAGGCGCCCACUUAGGGCCCGUCGUGAACCCUCCGUCUGUCUUAGGCCGGGUGGCCUCCCGGCCUGAUAGUGAGCAAAAGGCGUCCCCUGGCUGGAAUCUGGUAAUACUUGUACCGGUGCUGAAGAUGGCACUGAUACUAAACCUCUCGGACAGUCUGACUGGAAGUGACCCUCCUGGCCACACGAGUAGCACCUGCCCUGCCUCUGUGAGCACUGCUGCAGGUAAUGACGACCACCGCAGAUCACGCAGCUCAGAGUCUGACGACGCACGGAUCCUCUAUGCCGUGCUGAUGAGCCAUGUCCUCGUGACUGGCUCCGGUUCCUGGAAUGUCUCGGCGGCCUCCCAGAGUGCGUCUGACUCGCACCCUCAGCCGCGGGCCUCUUGCCUUUUCCUUUGUCCGAGCCUUCUUGACGCUCCCGCAAGUCUAUCGCGCAGCUUUCCACGAUGAUCGCGCGGUUCACUACAUCUUGGUAGGUCUGAAGGUGGAAGGGUUGCACCAACCGUAAGAUCGACGGCUGAAGUCCUCGCUCAAAGAUGCGAGCCUUAUCCUUGUCAUCCUGCACAACAAAGGGCGCAUAGUGUAGAAGCCGAGAGAACUCCCUCUCGUACUCGGCUACAGUCCGAUCCCCCUGGCACAUCUCGCGCAGAUCCUGCUCCAUUUUCCUCUUCACGCGAACGAGGAAGUAAUGCUCCAAUAAGAGCUCCUUGAAUCUCUUCCAAGAAAUCACUGCUAGGUCAGUGUUGGGAUUAUCCUGGAUGCCCACCCACCAACUAUAGGCCUCGCCGUCCAAAUGGUGAGUGGCGAGCCAAACUCUAUCUCUCUCCUCCACGAAGGUGUCGUGGAAUAACUUCUCCAUAUGCAUCAACCACUUCUCAACGGUCCAGUGGUUGGCUUUCUCUCCAUCAAAGAUCCUGGGAUCGCACCUUCUGAACUCGUCGAGGCGAUCCAUGAGCGGCUGCCGCUCUGCUCUUUCAACCAUUAAGGGAAAAGUCGCUGCUGCCACAGGCGCCUGAGCUGGUGGUGCUGCCAAUACCUCCUCCCGAGGGGCUAUCGUAAGUGUCGUCUGCGAAGUGUCGAGCACAGGGGACGACUCCCUGGGCGCAACUGUCUCCACUGGCGCGAGUAGUACCGAGACCUGAGCCUCCCUAGCAGCUGCCUGCUGUAAUAGAAGAUCUUCCAGGCGCUGCAUCCGUGCUCCUGCCGGCGUGCCGUAUCCGCUUGCUGCUGCGCCGCCGCCGCCUGCUGCGUCACCAAAUCAGUGAGGGCCGCAAGCUGACUCCUCAACUCACGGACCUCUCCAGAUCCAGAGGCAGCGGGUAUCUCCGUUUCCUCAAAAGUUGCCGCAUCGUCCGCUCUAACAAACUUAGAGCGUGAAGUUGGCAUUGUCACUAUAACAUCAUAGAAGCGCAAGUUAAUACAACCCACGCUAUCGCAACUCCACUCAAAUACCAAUACCCCAAAUCAUGCGAAAGUAAGGAAGUGUCUCAACUACUAACUCCCGAUGUUACGUUGUCGGCCGCCAACGUAACCCUCCGCGAAGUUAGAAGCCAUACACUUCGAUCAAACUCCAACCUUUUUGGAGUUAUCAAAGAAACCCAAUCAUGAUACUUUCGCUCAUAAAUCAAAUAGACCUCGUCUCUCANGGACUUACUCUAACUUGGUCUUAUGAUUUGUUGUUCAACUGUAGGUGCUGAUCGAUCCAAUAUCGUCAACCUGAGAAUUAUACGAUACCGUAUCCCAACCUGUAAACCCAUUAAUCACAUGUACUGUAAUAGCGAAUAACGUAACAUCAUGUGAAACAACGGUACUAUCAUGUAUGAUCAAUACAUCAACCGAAACCCUGUAUAUAGUAUGAGUAUCAUAAUGAACGACGUAAUAUCGUAUGAACAAAUUCAUAACCGUAUGACCUAGUACAUCUCAUCUGCAUGAGGUACAACUGUAAGAUGUAUGAACACCGUAACAUCUCAUCGUAGAAUAAUAAUACGAAGUAUAUGGUGUCAAUUAAAGAUAAUAGAAAUAGACGAGAGAAAACCCGGAUCACCACAUCAACCACGUCCAGUCAUUAACGGGUGACCCUUGAUAUUUAAUAUCAAGAGUACGGGAGACAAAAUACAAAAGAAAGUAUCGGAAGGUGAGGCCCUCUCCGAGCCCUUGCGCCCUUUCCAAGGCGGAGUUCGAUCGAUAGCUCCCAAAACCGCUAUCCACCAGGUAGAGAGAAAACAAAAGAAAACUCUCCAACACUCUCAAAACAUGGACCAAUAUCUCUGGUGGGUCAAAAACAUAGAACUCUAAAUACUACAUAAUCAAAUGAAAUAUGAAAUCAUCAUAAUAAAAGAAAACUGAGAUGGACUACAAUCUUGGAUCGACACAUAAACGAGACUAUAGUAAUCAACGAUAAGUAAGAUAAAUGAGAUAGAGAACGAAAUGAAGGCGAAAAUAGCAUCUGCGGAAUAUACACAUCUGUAUACCGCCCAGACCUGUGCGAUAGCCCUCCCGGAGGCGGCCAGGGCCCCGCACUGUCACACAGUCCUCAGUGGUGGAGGUUGAGGUAGGCGAAGUAGACGAGCUAGUUAACACCAAGUCAUUGGUAUUCGUAGCGAUUCAAAAGGCAGCUAAAGGAUGAAUCGCGUAGGCGGUGGUGCAAUCGGAACGGGCUCACCAUCUCUUAUCAUUCUAGUAUUAGGAACUCAUCGAGGUUGGUAGACGCGACGGAGUUCAAGUUGAGGAAGACUCAUUUGUCCAUGAAAUUCGAGAACACUAGGCACAUAUGAAGUGUGGCGAGCGGUAUUUCCAUCACCGCGGUAUCGAAGUUACGCUUGUGGUGCCGGCGGUUGAGGUUUAGUACGCAUCCCAUCAAGAAAAGUAUGAGGAAGUCAACCGCUCUUCGUAUGCGUUAGUGGAACGGUAGGACGUAGUUAUGUGUCGGGUUCGGUAAUUCACUUCGUAGUGAUAUUUGGUGUAUGGGAUGAGGUCGAUGACCAUCCCAGUUAUAAUCUACACGGGUGUAGUCCGGCUUGUGCCGCCUAAGUGCCAGUGGUAGCUCCAGCAUUCCCACUCUAGGAAUGAGUCUAUCCCUCCAGGCCCCGUAGGCUACUCGAUACCGCACGGGCGAACAUAAGUCGCGCAGGCUAACUCCGAAGUGCCGGCUUGUAGGGAGCGACCCGUACAAGCAUGUGCUAAUGAGCACAAAUGGCAAGCAAGCAUGGUCAAAACCUCAAGUACCCAAUCAUCAUGUCUCUAACAUGGUAACAGUCACUAGUAACCCAAAGGUCUAGUAUUAUGUCUCAAAGUGGAGGUUUAACCGUUCGAUGAUUUCGAUGUCAAUGACCUUAGCUUCACUAAGUCCAAAUCUUAAGGUGAAGUUCCCACAUUCACUAUGUUUAGUGCCUCUUUAUGACACUUAAACAUUGCUAUAAUCUAAGCUCAAUUCACAUUCUAUGUCUCUUUAUGACGCUAGCUUGUUCUUAUCAAUAAUAGAUUAAUACACAUGCUCUCUAGCGUGUUCUCAUAUUGCUACAUGUAUGAUCUUUCCAAUACGACUAUUAACUUGGCAUAAUUCUCAUAAUAAUAACAUGCACAUGCAAUUUACAUAUCCAUCAAGUCUAAUGCCGUUUUAUGACCAUUAGUUUGCUAAGUCCAUGUCUAGUCCAAGCCUAAUGCCGCUUUAUGACAUUAGCUUACUCUUUGUAUCCAUUCUAGCCUAUGCCACUUAAUGUCGAUAUGUCCAACCAUGUCAAGCAUGCGUUCUAAGUCCAAGAGUGUAAUCUAUAUGCCAUAUGCACUAUAUGCAACAUGAUCUCAAUCAAAUAUAAGAAUGCUAACCAUAGGCCCCUAGCCCAACAUGAAAACUCUCUAGUACAUAGAGGUCAAAUAUGCAAUGUAUAUAACAUAGGCAUCUUAAGCAUUCUAAAAUUCACAAAUAAUGCAUCUAACAUGAACAUGCAUGCUUUUUCAUUUUACAACACUUAAAUCAUCAACAAUGAGAUUUUCUCAUUGUGUGGUUAGGUCAAACCCACCGAC